CUUCGCCUACGGGAGGCAGCAGUGGGGAAUAUUGCACAAUGGGGGAAACCCUGAUGCAGCGACGCCGCGUGAGUGAGGAAGUAUUUCGGUAUGUAAAGCUCUGUCAGCAGGGAAGAAAGCAAUGACGGUACCUGACCAAGAAGCCCCGGCUAACUACGUGCCAGCAGCCGCGGUAAUACGUAGGGGGCAAGCGUUAUCCGGAUUUACUGGGUGUAAAGGGAGCGUAGACGGCCGUGCAAGUCUGAUGUGAAAACCCGGGGCUCAACCCCGGGACUGCAUUGGAAACUGCAUGGCUGGAGUGUCGG
rnacentral:rRNA from 1 species